rnacentral:rRNA from 1 species
AUUGAACGCUGGCGGCAGGCCUAACACAUGCCAGUCGGACGAGUGGCGGACGGGUGAGUAAUGUCUGGGAAACUGCCUGAUGGAGGGGGAUAACUACUGGAAACGGUAGCUAAUACCGCAUACCAUCAGAUGUGCCCAUAGGGGAUUAGCUCGUUGGUGGGGUAACGGCUCACCUGGGCGACGAUCCCUAGCUGGUCUGAGAGGAUGAUCGGCCACACUGGAACUGAGACACGUUCCAGACUCCUACGGGAGGCAGCAGUGGGGAAUAUUGCACAAGGGGCGCAAGCCUGAUGCAGCCAUGCCGCGUGUAUGAAGAAGGCCUUCGGGUUGUAAAGUACUUUCAGUGGGGAGGCGUUACCCGCAGAAGAAGCACCGGCUAACUCCGUGCCAGCAGCCGCGGUAAUAC